rnacentral:rRNA from 1 species
GUAGGGUGCAAGCGUUAUCCGGAAUCAUUGGGCGUAAAGAGCUCGUAGGCGGUUCAGCAAGUCGGCUGUGAAAGUCCGAGGCUCAACCUCGGAACUGCAGUCGAUACUGCUGUGACUCGAGUCCGGUAGAGGAGAAUGGAAUUCAGGGUGUAGCGGUGAAAUGCGCAGAUAUCCUGAGGAACACCAGUAGCGAAGGCGGUUCUCUGGGCCGGUACUGACGCUGAGGAGCGAAAGCGUGGGUAGCAAACAGGAUUAGAUACCCUGGUAGUCCCACGCCGUAAACGUUGGACACUAGGUGUGGCGUUCCGACCAACGGGUGCCGUGCCGAAGCUAACGCAUUAAGUGUCCCCGCCUGGGAGUACGGCCGCAAGGCUA